GACGAACGCUGGCGGCGUGCUUAACACAUGCAAGUCGAACGGUAAGGCCCUGCUUUUGUGGGGUGCUCGAGUGGCGAACGGGUGAGUAACACGUGAGUAACCUGCCCUUGACUUUGGGAUAACUUCAGGAAACGGGGGCUAAUACCGGAUAUGAGCUCCUGCUGCCUGGUGGGGGUUGGAAAGUUUCGGAGGUGGGGGAGGAUGUGCUGGCUGCCUAUCAGCUUGUUGGGGGGGUGGUUGCCGACCGAGUCUUUGACGGGUAGCCGGCCUGGGAUGGUGACCGGCCACAUUGGGACUGAGAUACGGCCCAGACUCCUACGGGAGGCAGCAGUGGGGAAGACUGCACAAUGGUCGGAAGCCUGAUGCAGCAGCGCCGCGUGCGGGAUGACGGGAUUCGGGUUGGAAACCGCUUUCGCCUGUGACGAAGCUGUAGUGGCGGUAAUGGGUAAAGAAGCACCGGCUAACUACGUG
rnacentral:rRNA from 1 species